rnacentral:rRNA from 1 species
UACGUAGGGUGCGAGCGUUGUCCGGAAUUACUGGGCGUAAAGAGCUCGUAGGUGGUUUGUCGCGUUGUUCGUGAAAACUCACAGCUCAACUGUGGGCGUGCGGGCGAUACGGGCAGACUGGAGUACUGCAGGGGAGACUGGAAUUCCUGGUGUAGCGGUGGAAUGCGCAGAUAUCAGGAGGAACACCGGUGGCGAAGGCGGGUCUCUGGGCAGUAACUGACGCUGAGGAGCGAAAGCGUGGGGAGCGAAACAGG